UAGUAAGAAGUGAAAAAUUCACGUUUGGUUUCGGCCCGAAUGGUGCCGUAAGAUGCGGCCUUGCUAU
rnacentral:tRNA from 1 species